rnacentral:rRNA from 1 species
GAUCAUGGCUCAGGAUGAACGCUGGCGGCGUGCCUAACACAUGCAAGUCGAGCGAAGCAAUCGAGAUGAAGUUUUCGGAUGGAUUCCUGAUUGACUGAGCGGCGGACGGGUGAGUAACGCGUGGGUAACCUGCCUCAUACAGGGGGAUAACAGUUAGAAAUGACUGCUAAUACCGCAUAAGCGCACAGUACCACAUGGUACCGUGUGAAAAACUCCGGUGGU